rnacentral:rRNA from 1 species
UUGAAUGGCCGCGGUAUUUUGACCGUGCUAAGGUAGCAUAAUCAUUAGUUUUUUAAUUGAAAGCUGGAAUGAAGGGUUGGAUGAAAAAAUAGCUGUCUCUAUUAAAAUAUAAUAGAAUUUUAUUUUUAAGUUAAAAAGCUUAAAUAUUAUUAAAAGACGAGAAGACCCUAUAGAGUUUUAUAAUUAAUUAUAUUAUUUUUUUAGAAUUUAUUUUUUAAUAAAAAUUAAUUUUUUAAUUGGGGUGAUUAAAAAAUUUAAUGAACUUUUUUUAUAUUUUUAUAUUAAUUUAUAAAUUAUUGAUCCAGAGUUUUUGAUUAUAAGAUAAAAUUACCUUAGGGAUAACAGCGUAAUUUUAUUAGAGAGUU